rnacentral:rRNA from 2 species
UUCGCAAUGCCCGAAAGGGUGACGAAGCGACGCCGCGUGGGUGAGGAAGGCCUUCGGGUUGUAAAGCCCUGUCAGGAGUUAAGAAAUGUAGACUCGCUAAUAUCGGGUCUAUUUGACAAAGGCUCCAAAGGAAGCCACGGCUAACUCUGUGCCAGCAGCCGCGGUAAUACAGAGGUGGCAAGCGUUGUUCGGAAUUAUUGGGUGUAAAGAGCACGUAGGUGGAUUUGUAAGUCAGACGUGAAAGCCUUCUGUUCAACGGAAGAAUUGCAUCUGAAACUACAAACCUUGAGUGUAGGAGGGGAGAAUGGAACUUCUGGUGGAGCGGUGAAAUGCGUAGAUAUCAGAAGGAACGCCGGCGGCGAAAGCGAUUCUCUGGCCUAUUACUGACACUCAGUGUGCGAAAGCUAGGGGAGCAAACGGGAUUAGAUACCCCGGUAGUCCUAGCCGUAAACGAUGGGCACUAAGUAGAGGGGUUUU